rnacentral:rRNA from 1 species
GACGAACCGUGCGACCGUUGUUCGGAUUCACUGGGCUUAAAGGGCGCGUAGGCGGCUUGCCAAGUCAGGGGUGAAAUCCUCCGGCUUAACCGGAGAAGUGCUUUUGAUACUGGCGAGCUUGAGGGAGGUAGGGGCAGGCGGAACUUCCGGUGGAGCGGUGAAAUGCGUAGAUAUCGGAAGGAACGCCGGUGGCGAAAGCGGCCUGCUGGACCUCUUCUGACGCUGAGGCGCGAAAGCCAGGGGAGCGAACGGG